UUAUAAUGGGCCAUUCCAUUUAAUAUAGGCACCCCCCUAUUGAGGGGUCUGGAUAUCCUAUGGGGGAGGGGGUUUUUACCUAAAAUUUUUCCAAAAAAUAGCAAAAAUUAGGUGUUUUAGUGAUAUCCAAGGGGGCAAAAACGAUAUCCUAAAGGGGGUAUCAAGAUAUCCAUGGGGUAACUUCCAAAAAUCACAUCCAAGGGGGUUCUAAAAUGUUUAUAUCCUAAGGGGAUUUGGAAGGGACCCCUCAAUAGGGGGCUGCCUGGCUAUAUUUAAUAAAUGGAAUGGCCCAUUGAUGGAGAUGGCAACAUCAUAUUAAAGAUGG